CAUCAGUGUAACAAUGCUCAAAUGCCAAAGGCUGGAAACGAAAUUCCAUACAAUAUCAAUGAUAGAAAACAAAAUACAAAUUCACUGCAACUUGAAAAAAUGUGAAGAGGGAGAGAAAACUAGGGGUUAUAAACAGCCACUAAUGCACUCCAUUGGAAAUUCAGGAGAAAACAUGUUACUCAAAGAGUGGUGAGAAUGUGAAACUCACAAAGAUUGGUUGAGGGGAAGCUGGAUACACACAAGAGCGAAAGGAGUAGAAAGGAUGAGGACAGCGAUGGCUAGGCCCAUCCCUAAUUGGGCAACCACAUUGCCAAGGGAGAGUCACAUCUAGGCCAGACCAGAUUUAACAAGUGCCAGUGAUAAAGAAGCAAUCAGUACGAUGCAAUUUCAAUGGAAGAAUUGCAACAUCUGGACACCACUCUCGCUUCACUCUUGUAUCUCACUAUUUACUAUGUAUAGUCACAGUUAUGUUAUGCUGGCCAGAAGGAAGAUGCCAACUCACAUGCACAGCUGGGAGGGCUCAAAUACAGCAAGUAAU